UACGUAGGGCGCAAGCGUUGUCCGGAAUUAUUGGGCGUAAAGAGCUCGUAGGCGGCCUGUUGCGUCCGCUGUGAAAUCCCGGGGCUUAACCCCGGGCUUGCAGUGGAUACGGGCAGGCUGGAGGCAGGCAGGGGAGAACGGAAUUCCCGGUGUAGCGGUGAAAUGCGCAGAUAUCAGGAGGAACACCGGUGGCGAAGGCGGUUCUCUGGGAAUGACCUGACGCUGAGGAGCGAAAGUGUGGGGAGCGAACAGG
rnacentral:rRNA from 1 species